rnacentral:rRNA from 1 species
AUGGCCCACGCUAAUGUCAACCUCAACUUCAACGCGUUCCUAGAGAAAACCAAGCUGAAAGAUGAUGGCAGCAACUAUACGGACUGGGUCCGGAACCUGAGGAUCAUCCUCAUAGCUGCCAAGAAAGCAUAUGUCCUAGAAGCACCACUAGGUGAAGCUCCCAUCCCAGAGAACCAAGACGUUAUGAACGCUUGGCAGUCUCAUGCUGAUGAUUACUCCCUCGUUCAGUGCGGCAUGCUUUACAGCUUAGAACCGGGGCUCCAAAAGCGUUUUGAGAAGCACGGAGCAUAUGAGAUGUUCGAAGAGCUGAAAUUGAUUUUCCAAGCUCAUGCCCGGGUCGAGAGAUAUGAAGUCUCUGACAAGUUCUACAGUUGUAAGAUGGAGGAAAAUAGUUCUGUCAGUGAGCACAUACUCAAGAUGUCUGGGUUACACAACCGCUUGUCCCAGCUGGACAUUAACCUCCCGGACGAGGCGGUCAUUGACAGAAUCCUUCAGUCGCUCCCACCUAGCUACAAGAGCUUUGUGAUGAACUACAAUAUGCAGAGGAUGGAAAAGACCAUUCCUGAGGUAUAUUCAAUGCUGAAAUCAGCAGAGGUAGAAAUCAAAAAGGAACAUCAAGUGUUGAUGGUGAAUAAAACCACUAAGUUCAAGAAAGGCAAGGGUAAGAAGAACUUCAAGAAGGACGGCAAGGAAGUUGCCGCGCCCGGUAAACCAGCUACCGGGAAGAAGUCAAAGAAUGGACCCAAGCCUGAGACUGAGUGCUUUUAUUUCAAGGGAAAGGGACACUGGAAGCGGAACUGCCCCAAAUACUUAGCGGACAAGAAGGCCGGCAACACUAAAGGUAUAUGUGAUAUACAUGUAAUUGAUGUGUACCUUACCAGUACUCGUAGUAGUUCCUGGGUAUUUGAUACCGGUGCGGUUGCUCAUAUUUGUAACUCAAAACAGGAGCUGCGGAAUAAACGGAGACUGGCGAAGGACGAGGUGACGAUGCGCGUCGGGAAUGGUUCCAAGGUCGAUGUGAUCGCCGUCGGCACGCAACCUCUACAUUUACCUAUGGGAUUAGUUUUAAACCUUAAUAAUUGUUAUUUAGUGCCAGCUUUGAGCAUGAACAUUGUAUCAGGAUCUUGUUUAAUGCGAGAUGGCUACUCAUUUAAAUCCGAG